rnacentral:lncRNA from 10 species
CUGAAAGCGACACUCUGAUCCACUAGAUUCCAAACAGUUUAAACAGUAAAAACUGACCGAGUAAAUGUGAAUAUUUUUUCACUUGAACACUCUGAUCUGUUUGGAACUUAAUUUCCUUACUCAUGAAAUUAAUAUAAUAAGGCUAAGUUGGUCAGUAGUUAAACUAACUAAAUUUGGCUGAAGAUUGCUAUGUUCACUAUGCAAAGAUUAGACCGUUAGUUCCCUGAGUGAAGAGAUGCUAUCUUGGUAUCUCCAGCUUCCAACCGGGGGCUUGGCACAGAAUAGGGGCUUGGUAAAUGUUUUCCAAAUGAAUGGGAUGUCUGAUGGAAAGAAGACAAGGUGAAGGAAUUCCUGGGUAAUAUGGAGAUGAGAAUCUGUGAGAAGGAUACAUGUACUGAUGCCUGUCGCGGUGGACACACAGACGCACACAUUGCGGAACACCACCAUAAGAAUAUUGAGAAUAUCGAGAACACUUCAAUAUUCCAAACUUCAAUGGAAAUAUACGAACUGGAGUACACUCUUCUUCUGCCCUUGGACAUCAGGCUCUCUGGCCUUUGGACUCCAGGACUUAUACCAGCGCCCCUCUGGGUUCUCAGGCCUCUGUACUUGAACUGAGCCACACUGCCAGCAUGCCAGCUUCUCCAGCUUGCCAGGCCUGCUGUGGGACUUCUCAGCCUCCAUAAUCAUGUGUGCCAAUUCCCCUAAUAAAUCUCCUCUCAUCUGUCCACGUAUCUAUAUUUGCAUUCUGUUGGUUCUGUCUCUCUAGAAAAGUAUUACUAAUACACAGGUAGAGGAAGUCCCCAAGAAGAAUACUGAACUGACACCAAU